GCCUGGGUGGCUCAGUCGGUUGAGUGUCUGACUUCAGCUCAGGUCAUGAUCUUGUGGUUCGUGAGUUCAAGCCCCACAUUGGGCU
rnacentral:tRNA from 1 species